UACGUAGGGGGCAGGCGUUAUCCGGAUUUACUGGGUGUAAAGGGAGCGUAGACGGCAUAGCAAGUCUGAAGUGAAAGCCCGUGGCUCAACCGCGGAACUGCUUUGGAAACUGUUAAGCUGGAGUACUGGAGAGGCAAGCGGAAUUCCUAGUGUAGCGGUGAAAUGCGUAGAUAUUAGGAGGAACACCAGUGGCGAAGGCGGCUUGCUGGACAGAGACUGACGUUGAGGCUCGAAAGCGUGGGGAGCAAACAGG
rnacentral:rRNA from 1 species